rnacentral:rRNA from 1 species
CUUAAUCCUCAAGGGUGUGAAAUAAGCAUAAUCGGAUACCGUUUAAUUGGCGGAGUGUUGAAUGGAUUCACGAGUGCAAAGCUGUCUUGAACUGAAUUUAAAAUAAACUAGAUUUAUAAGUGAAGAAGCUUAUUAAAUUAAUAAGACGAAAAGACCCCGUGAAGCUUAACUAUAUUUUACCUCUUAUUUAAAUUAAAGUAAGUCGAUUAUAUUUAUUUAUAUUUAUUAGCUUACGAUUUAAUUUUUCAAAGGUAUUUUGGUAGUUUUGAUGGGGUGUCAGCACGUUAAAAUCAACAUGGAGUUAAUUAAUAUAAUAUCCUAAAGCUAGUGUAAUUAACAUAUUUAUACAGAAAAAUAUUUUGAUAAAAUGACCCGCCUGUAUUAAUAAUAUAUAGACGACAAAGAAUGAUAGCUACUCCGGGGAUAACAGG